CCGAGUUUACAACUCCCAAACCCCUGUGAACAUACCACUAUGUUGCCUCGGCGGAUCAGCCCGCGCCCCGGUAAAACGGGACGGCCCGCCAGAGGAUCCACUAAACUCUGUUUCUAUAUGUAACUUCUGAGUAACAAACCAUAAAUAAAUCA
rnacentral:misc_RNA from 1 species